rnacentral:rRNA from 1 species
AUACUCCUGACUGACCGAUAGUGAACCAGUACCGUGAGGGAAAGGCGAAAAGAACCCCGGCGAGGGGAGUGAAAAAGAACCUGAAACCGUGUACGUACAAGCAGUGGGAGCACCCUUCGGGGUGUGACUGCGUACCUUUUGUAUAAUGGGUCAGCGACUUAUAUUCUGUAGCAAGGUUAACCGAAUAGGGGAGCCGGAGGGAAACCGAGUCUUAACCGGGCGUUAAGUUGCAGGGUAUAGACCCGAAACCCGGUGAUCUAGCCAUGGGCAGGUUGAAGGUUGGGUAACACUAACUGGAGGACCGAACCGACUAAUGUUGAAAAAUUAGCGGAUGACCUGUGGCUGGGGGUGAAAGGCCAAUCAAACCGGGAGAUAGCUGGUUCUCCCCGAAAGCUAUUUAGGUAGCGCCUCGUGAAUUCAUCUCCGGGGGUAGAGCACUGUUUCGGCUAGGGGGCCAUCCCGGCUUACCAACCCGAUGCAAACUGCGAAUACCGGAGAAUGUUAUCACGGGAGACACACGGCGGGUGCUAACGUCCGUCGUGAAGAGGGAAACAACCCAGACCGCCAGCUAAGGUCCCAAAGUCAUGGUUAAGUGGGAAACGAUGUGGGAAGGCCCA